GGCAGCAUUAUCUCUGUGUUCUUUGCUCCUGUAGAAAGUUUUCCAGAGAAUUCCCAUCCCUGGCCUGGAAUCAGGAGACAGCAAGAACAGAGGCUGGGGGACCAGGGUUCCCGUGUAGAUGACUUUUGGCCCUGGCCCUGACUUGCUUUCCCAGCAGCUUUGGCCUCUCUCCUCCUCCUCGAGCACUCCAUUGCUGUCCCUGCAGAUGCUGCACUCUCCACCUUGUACUUUACAGCAUCUCCAGGCCUGCUGCUAUAGUGCCCACCUGAAUGUCAAUAAACGGCAGCGGAAAAAAAAAAGAA
rnacentral:lncRNA from 1 species